rnacentral:rRNA from 1 species
GAUGAACGCUGGCGGCGUGCCUAACACAUGCAAGUCGAACGGAGUUCUUGAGGAAAGCGGCUUCGGCCAAAUGACUUUUGAACUUAGUGGCGGACGGGUGAGUAACGCGUGAGCAACCUGCCUUUCAGAGGGGGACAACAGUUGGAAACGACUGCUAAUACCGCAUAAAGUACAAUGGGGGCAUCCCUGAUGUACCAAAGGAGCAAUCCGCUGAAAGAUGGGCUCACGUCUGAUUAGCUAGUUGGUGAGGUAACGGCUCACCAAGGCUGCGAUCAGUAGCCGGACUGAGAGGUUGAACGGCCACAUUGGGACUGAGAUACGGCCCAGACUCCUACGGGAGGCAGCAGUGGGGAAUAUUGGGGCAAUGGGCGAAAGCCUGACCCAGCAACGCCGCGUGAAGGAGAAAGGUCUUCGGAUUGUAAACUCUUUUAUGUAGGACGAAGGACGUGACGGUACUCAUGAAUAAGCCACGGCUAACUACGUGCCAGCAGCCGCGGU